UUGUCCGCUCAAUAUCUUGAGAACCAUUCACUUGAUGAUAAUGAUAUUUCAUAUGUGGGUUGGUUAUGAGUAGAAGAGGACCCCUAUUGUUUUUCAGGUCAAAAGGUCAAGGGUCAAUCUACUCUGGAUAUAGGAAUAUAAUGUCCGCUCAAUAUCUUGAGAACCCUUUGCUUGAAAGACAUCAAACUUGGCACACUGGUACAUCCUAAGGAGUAGAUGACCCCUAUUGAUUUUGAGGUCACAUGGUCAAAGGUCAAGGGUCAAACUGGGCAUAGGAAUAUACUGACCAUUCAAUGUCUUGAGAACCCUUUGCUUGACAGACAUCAAACUUAGUACACUGGUAUAUCUUCAGGAGAAGAUGACUCCUAUUGAUUUUGAGGUCACAUGGUCAAGGGUCAAAGUGGACAUUGGAAUAUACUGUCUGCUCAAUAUCUUGAGAACCCUUUGCUUGACAGACAUCAAACUUGGUACACUGGUACUUCUUCAGGAGAAGAUGACCCCUAUUGAUUUUGAGGUCACAUGGUCAAGGGUCACACUGGACAGGAAUAUACUGUUCGUUCAAUAUCUUGAGAACCCUUUGCAUGACAGACAUCAAACUUGGUACACUGGUACACCCUCAGGAGAAAAUGAUCCCUAUUGAUUUUGAGGUCACAUGUUUAAAGGUCAAGGGUUAACCUGGACAUUGGAAUAUACUGUCCGCUCAAUAUCUUGAGAACCCUUUACUUGACAGACAUCAAACUUAGUACACUGGUGUAUAUUUAGGAGAAGAUGACUCCUAUUGAUUUUGAGGUCACAUGGUCAAAGGUCAAGGGUCAGACUGGACAUAUGAUAUACUGUCCACUCAAUAUCUUGAUAACCCUUUUGCUUGACAGACAUCAAACCUAGUACACUGUUACAUCUUCAGGAGAAGAUGACCCAUAUUGAUUUUGAGGUCAAAAGUCAAUAGUUGAACUGGAUAUAGUAAUAUAUUGUCUCCUAUAUUUUAAGAAUUAUUUGCUUGAUUGACACCAAACUUGGUACACUGGUACAGCAUAAGGAGUAGAUGACCCCUAUUGAUUUUUAGGUCACACGGUCAAUUCACUCUUGACAUAGGAAGAUAUCAUCUGCUCAAUAUUUUUUAUUGAUGAUACUACUAUCAAUUAAAUGAUGUGUGUGUAUAACCCUUUUCAAUUUUGCACCAUGGGGGGCAUAUGUGUUUUACAAACAUCUCUUGUUCAUAUUUCGUUUCUGUCGGGACAGAAGAUCCAUAAUGAAUCUGAUUGUGGCAGAGUGAUUGGAGACACUCUAGGAAUAUCCAAAACCUGUUUGCAGGGUAUUUAUUAUGAAAAAAUUUCUGCAAGGAUUGCCUUCAUCACCAGAUAAAAAAAAAAAAACCAAAGAAAGACAUUUCAUUGUUUAUAUUUAUUUUAUAUAAUUUUUAAAAAUAUAAACUAGAUUUAAGUACUGAAAUAGCAUAUUGUUGACCAUUUCAUUACUUUGAAUGGAACAGUCAAUGCCAAUGCGACCUUUGACCUUGAUGACACUCCAUAUUUGGUAAUGAUUACGCAGACUGAUGGUACUAAAAAAAACUGGAUCAAUCUAGUGGCUACAAACAUGCAUUCAUUGUCUUUGAUGAAAAGCAAUUUCAAAAGAAAUCUAUACUUAUAAAUUAAGGAGGUAUUCUACAUCAUCAUAAUGGCUGCCUUCUUUUUAAAACAUUGAUGAAAAUAUAAAUAUCAGCAAUAUUUGUAUAUUCAUUUAAAAAAUCAUUGCCUAGCUGAAUAGCUCAGUCUACAAGGUAUCGGGGGGGAUUGAGUUCAUCAGGGGUUUUAAAUUUUUUUUCCGGAUUGCUUUCUACUAAAACUGCAUUUUUUGACUAAAUGAAGUAAAUUUGAGUUUUCAAUUUCAAAACAUUGUUGUACAUAACCACUUUUCAUCCAUAUCAAAUUUCUCUGCUGUAGCAUACCUCCUUAAUAAAUUUUGCCAAUAAACUCAGAAAUGCUUGCUCCAGAGUUACUGCUUGAACCUUUAAUAUUGUUUCAUAUAAGAGGUGAAGUCCAUAAGUUAUAAUAGAAUCUUACUUGAUUAGUAAAUAUUGUGAAGUUAUUUGAAAUCCUACUUUUUUUUCUGAUAAACUACCCUGAAAUAGCAAAAGUGAGAGGAAAGUAGUGGAUAUGCUUUGGUGGAUCUGAACCAUUUUUUAAAAAAAAAAGACAACUUAAGAUAAUUUGAUACAAGUAAAUCUGUAUUUUAUCGAUGCUUGAUUUUGAUCUUACAGAAAAAAUACGUCGCGGAUUAUAAAGCGUAAACUGCACCAAGUUACAUUAUAUCGUAUAACAUAGGUCAAAAUUAGACCUUAAGAAAACAUUGGUUAAAAUGUCACAUUCUUUUUUCAUUACCAUAACAUCAAGGAAUGAUAAUUUAUUUCUAUCCGAUUCCAUUGUAAAUUUCAAUGUAGGGCUCCGAGAGUGUUAUUUGAAUAUUGAAAAGUUUUAUUAGUUGAUCUUCACCUUUGUCCCAU